GCUGGGCAUGAUGGCACAUGCCUGUAAUCCCAGCAGCCUAGGAAGCUGAGGCAGGAUGAAUCAAAGCCAGCCUCAGGAAAGGCAAGAUGUUAAGCAAUUCAAUGAGACCCUGUCUCUA
rnacentral:sRNA from 1 species